AUUGAACGCUGGUGGCGUGCCUUACACAUGCAAGUCGAACGGUAACAGGUUAAGCUGACGAGUGGCGAAGGGGUGAGUAAUGUAUCGGAACGUGCCCAGUCGUGGGGGAUAACGUAGCGAAAGCUACGCUAAUACCGCAUACGAUCUACGGAUGAAAGCGGGGGAUCGCAAGACCUCGCGCGAUUGGAGCGGCCGAUAUCAGAUUAGGUUGUUGGUGAGGUAAAAGCUCACCAAGCCUGCGAUCUGUAGCUGGUCUGAGAGGACGACUAGCCACACUGGAACUGAGACACGGUCCAGACUCCUACGGGAGGCAGCAGUGGGGAAUUUUGGACAAUGGACGCAAGUCUGAUCCAGCAAUGCCGCGUGCAGGACGAAGGCCUUCGGGUUGUAAACUGCUUUUGUACGGAACGAAACGGUGAGCUCUAAUACAGUUUGCUAAUGACGGUACCGUAAGAAUAAGCACCGGCUAACUACGUGCCAGCCGCCGCCGUAA
rnacentral:rRNA from 1 species